rnacentral:lncRNA from 1 species
AUAACAGAUACUGCGACAAUUGAUUAAUUAGAUAGGCCAGAGGGAUCGCAAUUUUUGUAGAGUUUUGUUAGAUAAUUUUUAGAUAGGUAUCAAUUGAGUGUUUGCGAGGACGCUACACAGUUAGGAGUGGGGCUAUGUAGAAUAAGUAGUUAUUUUCAGAAUGUAGAUACCUAGUAUAUAGUGUAAACAGGGAUAGAUAACUAUUGAAAAGGUGGUUCAACAAGUAGAAUGGAUGAAUAGUCAAGAAAAGUAGUUAUCAUCUGUAGUAUAGGAGUUGGUAUCUUGGGGUAGUAUAAGGAGGAUGGGAGAGGGGAAGAAAAGGCCAGACUGUGAAAGUUGUGAGCCGGGGUAAGCUUGGUACUGCCUCUUUUUUUUUUUGUUAUUUUCUUUGAAUAAGAGUAUUGAAAGUUUUUGAAUAUUGUGAAAUGAAUUAUGGAAUGGAAAUGUAAUUGGUAUUAUUUGAGAAGAAGAAAGAUUGAAUGCUGAAAUCUAAUUGUAGUUCAGCAGAGAGAAUGAGUCUAUGUUUGUGUGAAACUCUGUAAUGUGAAUGGCAAUUCUGUGUGAAGAAUUCCAGUGAUUGGAAUGAGGGUAAUUGUGUACUGAAAGCUGUAAGGGUGCAAUAUUACAGUUGGAGAUUAUAAGGGUGAAUAUAUUGGUGGAAAUAGCAGUUAUUGGUAUGA